rnacentral:rRNA from 1 species
AGUGAACGCUGGCGGUAGGCCUAACACAUGCAAGUCGAACGGCAGCACAGUAAGAGCUUGCUCUUACGGGUGGCGAGUGGCGGACGGGUGAGGAAUACAUCGGAAUCUACUUUUUCGUGGGGGAUAAUGUAGGGAAACUUACGCUAAUACCGCAUACGACCUACGGGUGAAAGCAGGGGAUCUUCGGACCUUGCGCGAUUGAAUGAGCCGAUGUCGGAUUAGCUAGUUGGCGGGGUAAAGGCCCACCAAGGCGACGAUCCGUAGCUGGUCUGAGAGGAUGAUCAGCCACACUGGAACUGAGACACGGUCCAGACUACUACGGGAGGCGGCAGUGGGGAAUAUUGGACAAUGGGCGCAAGCCUGAUCCAGCCAUACCGCGUGGGUGAAGAAGGCCUUCGGGUUGUAAAGCCCUUUUGUUGGGAAAGAAAAGCAGCAGGUUAAUACCCCGCUGUUCUGACGGUACCCAAAGAAUAAGCACCGGCUAACUUCGUG